rnacentral:rRNA from 1 species
AUGCCCACAGGAAUCAAAAUCUUUAGUUGGUUCGCUACCAUGUGGGGAGGUUCGAUACAAUACAAAACACCCAUGUUAUUUGUUGUAGGGUUCAUCUUUUUGUUCACCAUAGGAGGGCUCACUGGAAUAGUUCUAGCAAACUCUGGGCUAGACAUUGCUCUACAUGAUACUUAUUAUGUGGUUGCACAUUUCCAUUAUGUACUUUCUAUGGGAGCCGUUUUUGCUUUAUUGCUGGAUUUUACUAUUGGGUGGGUAAAAUCUUUGGCCGGAUAUAUCCUGAAACUAUAG